AAACAUGUGAAGGACUUGUUCUCCUACUUACAACAACAUCUGAAGGAAGAUUACUACCAGUUUCAAGUUUGUAGCAGCCAUCAUCUUCGAUUCCAUCUAGCGAGCAUUGAUCGUUGAUUCCCUUUCCACUUGGAGCAAAUUGGAGUUGUUGUGUUUGUCAAGGGCACUGCACACUGAGAACCCAAAGUUGCUCAUGGCAGCCUCUGCUGUA